rnacentral:rRNA from 1 species
UACGAAGGGGGCUAGCGUUGUUCGGAAUCACUGGGCGUAAAGGGCGCGUAGGCGGCCGAUCAAGUCGGGGGUGAAAGCCCAGGGCUCAACCCUGGAAUUGCCUUCGAUACUGAGAGUCUUGAGUUCGGAAGAGGUUGGUGGAACUGCGAGUGUAGAGGUGAAAUUCGUAGAUAUUCGCAAGAACACCAGUGGCGAAGGCGGCCAACUGGUCCGAUACUGACGCUGAGGCGCGAAAGCGUGGGGAGCAAACAGG